rnacentral:rRNA from 1 species
AUUGAACGCUGGCGGCAGGCCUAACACAUGCAAGUCGAGCGCGCGGCGGACGCGUGAGGAAUGUGUGUGGGCUGCCCGUUAGAGGGGGAUAACUACUGGACACGGUAGCUCAUACCGCAUCCUAUCGCGUUACCCAUAUGGGAUUAGCUAGUAGGUUAGGUAAUGGCUCACCCAGGCGACGAUCCCUAGCUGGUCUGAGAGGAUGAUCAGCCACACUGGGACUGAGACACGGCCCAGACUCCUACGGAGGCAGCAGUGGGGAAUAUUGAACAAUGGGCGAAAGCCUGAUGCAGCCAUGCCGCGUGUAUGAAGAAGGCCUUAGGGUUGUAAAGUACUUUAAGUCGGGAGGCGUUACCGACAGAAGAAGCACCGGCUAACUCCGUGCCAGCAGCCGCGGUAAUUC